rnacentral:rRNA from 1 species
UCCGUAGGUGGAUAAUUAAGUCAGAGGUGAAAUCCUGCAGCUCAACUGUAGAAUUGCCUUUGAUACUGGUUAUCUUGAGUCAUUAUGAAGUGGUUAGAAUGUGUAGUGUAGCGGUGAAAUGCAUAGAUAUUACACAGAAUACCGAUUGCGAAGGCAGAUCACUAAUAAUGUACUGACACUGAGGGACGAAAGCGUGGGGAGCGAACAGGAUUAGAUACCCGAGUAGUCC